CUGAACCCGAUUAAUAGGAAAUCGAGUUAUUAAUACUCGGUUCUUUUAUAAUCGAGUUCUUCUGCUAUAUGCAGUUCUCCUCAUCAUUUUCAGAUAUUCUCCUCAUUCUUAGAAUUUUCGGUCAGGGGCACGCGUUUUCUCUCCAUCAUCUCAGUGUCAAUGUCUGGUUCUGGCAACCCACAACUCUAUAGGCCUCACGAUGUGUUCACUGCUAUGGGUCGUUGCUGGGUAUUGGAAGAUGAGUUUAGCUAUCCAAUCAAUCCAAAUCUGCGAAAUAGUGCUUAUGUUCACAAUACCAUGAGACAGGAGUGGGAUUGGUUAUUUUGUGAACAACAAAUGUUUUAUGAUGAGUUGACUGGUUUUAAGUUGCCAGUGCCUCGGCGACUCGCAUCGCAGAUGCCUAGAGACACGAUUGACAAACUUCGUAAAGCAUUGAACCGCAUAAGAGAAGAAAAUAAUCGAAUGAAGAUACAUCUUAAUCGAUAUCGGACCCAAGUCGAGAUUCGAGAGUCAGUGGAGCGAGGGUGGUACGAGCACGCACAAUUCAUGCAAUCACUUCUUGCUGAUCCCAUUUAUCAGUCAGACGUGGAGAUGUCAGAUGAAGACUAAUCGUGUCGUGGUGUAAUUAGACUUUGUUAUUUAACUAUUUUUGUUAACUAUGUUUUAAAUGUAUGUGGGUCACUGUUGUUGCAUUUGUACUAUGUAAACCUUAUUAUUGAUUGUGAGGACCAUGCACAUUAUUCGUAAUCUACUUUAUUCCCACAGAACGCAUAAAA